rnacentral:rRNA from 1 species
UACAGAGGGUGCAAGCGUUGUUCGGAAUUAUUGGGCGUAAAGGGCGCGUAGGCGGUGCUGUAAGUCUGUAGUGAAAUCUCUGGGCUCAACUCAGAGUCUGCUAUAGAAACUGCAGUGCUGGAGUGUGGGAGAGGUGAGUGGAAUUCCCGGUGUAGCGGUGAAAUGCGUAGAUAUCAGGAGGAAUACCGAUGGCGAAGGCAGGUCUCUGGGCUGACACUGACGCUCAUGCACGAAAGCGUGGGGAGCAAACAGG